rnacentral:rRNA from 1 species
AUUCCUACGGGAGGCAGCAGUAGGGAAUUUUCGUCAAUGGGCGCAAGCCUGAACGAGCAAUGCCGCGUGAACGAGGAAGGUCUUCGGAUCGUAAAGUUCUGUUGAAGGGGAAAAAGAGCGGAGAGAGGAAAUGGUCUCCGAUUGAUAUUACCCUUCGAGGAAGUCACGGCUAACUACGUGCCAGCAGCCGCGGUAAUACGUAGGUGGCGAGCGUUAUCCGGAAUGAUUGGGCGUAAAGGGAGCGCAGGCGGUGCGGCAAGUCUGAUGUGAAAGCCCGGGGCUCAACCCCGGGACUGCAUUGGAAA